rnacentral:rRNA from 1 species
GACGGUCUUGCUGUCACUUAUAGAUGGAUCCGCGCUGCAUUAGCUAGUUGGUAAGGUAACGGCUUACCAAGGCAACGAUGCAUAGCCGACCUGAGAGGGUGAUCGGCCACACUGGAACUGAGACACGGUCCAGACUCCUACGGGAGGCAGCAGUAGGGAAUCUUCCGCAAUGGGCGAAAGCCUGACGGAGCAACGCCGCGUGAGUGAUGAAGGUCUUCGGAUCGUAAAACUCUGUUAUUAGGGAAGAACAUAUGUGUAAGUAACUGUGCACAUCUUGACGGUACCUAAUCAGAAAGCCACGGCUAACUACGUGCCAGCAGCCGCGGUAAUACGUAGGUGGCAAGCGUUAUCCGGAAUUAUUGGGCGUAAAGCGCGCGUAGGCGGUUUU